rnacentral:tRNA from 1 species
UUUCUGGCAGUCCAGUGGUUAAGACUCUGCACUCCCAAUGCAGGGACAUAGGUUCAAUCCCUGGUCAGAGAA